GGAUUGUGGCUCAGCGGUAGAGCACUCACCUUACACAUGCGAAGCCCUGGGUUCAAUCCUCAGCACCA
rnacentral:tRNA from 1 species